AAUAUUGGGCAAUGGGGGAAACCCUGACCCAGCGACGUCGCGUGAGGGAAGAAGGUCUUCGGAUUGUAAACCUUUGUCAACAGGGAAGAAGCAAGUGACGGUACCUGAAGAGGAAGCCACGGCUAACUACGUGCCAGCAGCCGCGGUAAUACGUAGGUGGCGAGCGUUAUCCGGAAUUACUGGGUGUAAAGGGUGUGUAGGCGGGGAUGCAAGUCAGAUGUGAAAUUCAUGGGCUCAACCUAUGGUGUGCAUUUGAAACUGGAGAGCUUGAGUAUCGGAGAGGGUAGUGGAAUUCCUGGAGUAGCGGUGAAAUGCGUAGAUAUCAGGAGGAACACCAGUGGCGAAGGCGACUACCUGGACGAAAACUGACGCUGAGGCACGAAAGCUAGGGGAGCAAAC
rnacentral:rRNA from 1 species